GUGGGGAAUCUUGCGCAAUGGGCGAAAGCCUGACGCAGCCAUGCCGCGUGAAUGAUGAAGGUCUUAGGAUUGUAAAAUUCUUUCACCGGGGACGAUAAUGACGGUACCCGGAGAAGAAGCCCCGGCUAACUUCGUGCCAGCAGCCGCGGUAAUACGAAGGGGGCUAGCGUUGCUCGGAAUUACUGGGCGUAAAGGGCGCGUAGGCGGACAGUUUAGUCAGAGGUGAAAGCCCAGGGCUCAACCUUGGAAUUGCCUUUGAUACUGGCUGUCUUGAGUACGGGAGAGGUGAGUGGAACUCCGAGUGUAGAGGUGAAAUUCGUAGAUAUUCGGAAGAACACCAGUGGCGAAUGCGACUCACUGGCCCGUUACUGACGCUGAGGCGCGAAAGCGUGGGGAGCAAACAGGAUUAGAAACCCUGGUAGUCC
rnacentral:rRNA from 1 species